rnacentral:lncRNA from 12 species
CUUAUCUCCUUUCUAAAAGAACUGUCACAAUCUGCAAGAGCUUUCCUUUCAUUAAUUUGUUUUGGCAUAUUUAUUUACCUUUCAGAGAGAAAAAAAAAACAUGCAUAAUUACUGAUUAAAAGUUUGAGAAAUGUUUGAUAAUGUCAUCUUUAUUUAUCUUUGUAGGUUUGAUUGCUUGGCUCACCUGAAUGUGAUUUCUAAUGCUGAUGUAGGAGAAAUACAGGAUGAACUCACUGAGAUCCUCGCCAAGCGUUACAAAAUUGACCACUAUGAAAUAAAAACAGAUGCUAACUUCAUCUUCAUAUAUACUCUUGAUGAUCUCUUGCCGGACCUGGACACAAACCCACCCUUAACCGCGACUGAGUCUCUGCCUCAUACAACUGAAACACGAACAACCACAAUUCCUCAGCUGACGUCUACAACUACUGAAAUUAUUACUACUGCACAAACAACAGGCACAACACCCAAUCAAGUGGCAAUAACAACAGAAGCUGUUUCAUCCUCAACUGAAACAAAAAAAAUCACUACCUCCACACCAUCCAUGGAAACAACCCUGGGAGGAAGUUCCACAACUUUUUUAUCCUCCACAAGAAGUCUUACAUUCAAUACAGCCGCAUGCUCUUCUACUAUUUCACCUGAAGGAAACAUAUCAGAAAGUUAUUUCAGUGUCAAUGUCAAUGUGACUAUCAAUGGCUCUGGUGACCCUGAGAACAUAAUUACAACCUGGGUAAGAUAUAAAACUAAGAGAACCUAA